GGCUGAAGACCUUACCCGAUUAGCUGAGAGGUGGUGCAUGGCCGUCGUCAGUUCGUACUGUGAAGCAUCCUGUUAAGUCCCGUAACGAGCGCAACCCUUGUCCUUAGUUACCAGCACGUUAUGGUGGGCACUCUAAGGAGACUGCCGGUGACAAACCGGAGGAAGGUGGGGAUGACGUCAAGUCAUCAUGGCCCUUACGGCCUGGGCUACACACGUGCUACAAUGGUCGGUACAAAGGGUUGCCAAGCCGCGAGGUGGAGCUAAUCCCAAUAAAACCGAUCGUAGUCCGGAUCGCAGUCUGCAACUCGACUGCGUGAAGUCGGAAUCGCUAGUAAUCGUGAAUCAGAAUGUCACGGUGAAUACGUUCCCGGGCCUU
rnacentral:rRNA from 1 species